GGCCUCCUCAGUUCACUGAUUAACAGCCUCUUGCCUUCUAAAUGCAACUGAGAGUGGAGUUGCAUUUUCAUAGGAGUACAGGUCACGGCACAUUUUAUGCUUUAGACCAGCACUGUGUUUGACCAGUCUGUUAUCUUUUAACUGCAAUUUUCGUGUUCCCCACAUAUUUCAGGUAUGGACUGCAACAUUUGCAGUUCAUGGAAUUAGUCUCUCUGAGACCUUAACCAGUCAAAUUCGCACAGCCAAUCUUUACAAAAGCAGUAUUUUAUGCCCUUUGCUUGUGUCUUCAGACUCGGACUUAUCCUCUGAGUUAGGAUUUGACUCUGGCACACUACUAUGCUUAUCAGGGAGAAAAUAACCCUGAGAUUCCACCGAAUACGUGUCUGCUGUGUUACUGCUCCAAUACGGUUUUUCUCUGCCUUCUGCCAUCCGGCAACCCCCACUGGUUGCGUUUUGAGUCUGCCAUGAUGCAAUACUGUCAAUAACUGGCCUUAGUUAUAGGUAUGCGUUAUAAAAACAACAAUACAAAGUGUUGGAUUGAAAAGGAUUAGUAGAAGAGCUUGUAUUUGUUUUUUGAGAUUUGUAUGUUGGCAUCAACACAGUGUUUUAUUUUGAAAAGUAACCAGAUGUUAUAUUUGUAGCACUCCACCACCCUGUACAAAAAAUGCCUAAAUGAAUGGGAUUAGGGCUCGGUGAUAAAACAAUAACAAUAUCUAUCGAGAUAGACACGUGAUCCAUAUCAAUAGAAAACAUGUCCAAUAGAAUGUUCGAUAAUUUCACUGAACUCUGUAACCCAGGUUAAAAAUGUAUAUUAAAAAUAUUUCAUUGUGUAUUAAAAAACCGAGACAAAUGAGUUAAACUCAGUAAAUUAGUUCAUUAUAUGUAUAAAACCAGGAUGUUUGAAUUAAAAACAGUGAAAUUCAUAGUGGAAAAAUCAGUUCAUUAAAUAUAAUGUUUUGUUAAUAAUUAAAAUACCGAUGUUCACUUAAAAAGAAGAACAGAACCGUGAUUAAAAAAAAAAGUUGUGUGGAGUUUUAGUUGAAAGAGCUGAUCGGAAGACGGACUUCUCAUCCAAUCAGAGGAGAAGCUCCCACCCACUGACCCGAUCGGAGCAGGUUCAUUUCCUCUUGAAGCUGCUAGAAGGAAGAGAGGAAGCCACAUUGAGCUCGAGUCACAGAAAAAAACACACUUUGGAUGAUAAAACACUGAAAAACACGGACAAAACACGGAGAAAACUGCUGGAGAAGAUCCCCCGGACGACCAGGACCUGCGUGAGCGCAGCUGGAGGAGCCGCUCGGGAGGAGAAAGCAUCGGUCAGGUUUUUUUUGUUGGAUUCCAUUGAGAUAUGGACCUGGAGGUUGGAGCCAAUUGACGUUGAUGGCGAGCUAGACCCCGGUGGACGCUUAGAUACCGACGUCGUGGAACCUGGAUCCUUUUUUUGCACCAAUACACACGCCACCCAUACCCCAGUGAGGUGGAACUGAUAUUUCACCUAUGUGGUGCUAACUGAACUGAACACUAGAAAUUAAAGCAGCUGCAGUAUUUUAUUUUAUUUUUUAUUUUUCAUACUUACCCGGGUAGGAGUUGUCAUAAAUGUGUUAUUAAUGUGUUUUCUUCCCAUCUGCAAUAAAAAGGGAAGCAUUUUUUGUUUCUUAAAGAGAA